rnacentral:rRNA from 1 species
AAUCAACGCUGGCGGCGUGCCUCAGACAUGCAAGUCGAACGCGAAAAUUCCCUUCGGGGGAUGAUUAGAGUGGCGUCCGGGUGAGUAACACGUGGGUAAUCUACCUUCGGGUGGGGAAGUAACAGUCGGAAACGACUGCUAAUACCGCAUAAUAGCAGCGGCACCUAAAUGGUGAUAGUUGUUUAAAGACGGGGGAGUCGCAAGACCUCGCGCCUGAAGAGGAGCCCG